AUGGGGUAUCCAUAUUAAACAAAGGCACUGAUACCAGACACAUUACUGUUGUGAAGGUGUAAAUGUCUGCUGUGAAGGUGUGAGAGUGUUGUGAAGGUGUAAAUGUCUGCUGUGAAGGUGUGAGAGUGUUGUGAAGAUGUAAAUGUCUACUGUGAAGGUGUGAGAGUGUUGUGAAGGUGUAAAUGUCUGCUGUGAAGGUGUGAGAGUGUUGUGAAGGUGUAAAUGUCUGCUGUGAAGGUGUGAGAGUGUUGUGAAGGUGUAAAUGUCUGCUGUGAAGGUGUGAGAGUGUUUUGAAGGUGUAAAUGUCUGUUGUGAAGAUGUAAAUGUUUGCUGUGAAAGUCUGUUGUGAAGGUGUGAGAGUCUGUUGUGAAGGUGUGAGAGUCUGUUGUGAAGGUGUCAGUGUCUGUUGUGAAGGUGUGAGAGUUUGUUGUGUGGGUGUGAGAGUCUGUUGUUAAGGUGUGAGAGUCUGUUGUGAAGGUGUGAGAGUCUGUUGUGAAGGUGUGAGAGUCUGUUGUGAAGGUGUAAGAGUAUUGUAAAGGUGUGAUAGUCUGCUGUAAAGGUGUGAUAGUCUGUUGUGUGGGUGUAGGU